UACGUAGGGGGCGAGCGUUGUCCGGAAUUAUUGGGCGUAAAGCGCGCGCAGGCGGUCUUUUAAGUCUGAUGUGAAAUCUUGUGGCUUAACCACAAGCGGCCAUUGGAAACUGGGAGACUUGAGUACAGAAGAGGAGAGUGGAAUUCCACGUGUAGCGGUGAAAUGCGUAGAGAUGUGGAGGAACACCAGUGGCGAAGGCGACUCUCUGGUCUGUAACUGACGCUGAGGUGCGAAAGCGUGGGUAGCGAACA
rnacentral:rRNA from 1 species